rnacentral:tRNA from 1 species
GCCGGCGUAGCUCAGUCGGUAGAGCAACGCACUCGUAAUGCGUAGGUCGUCGGUUCGAAUCCGACCGCCGGCU